UCAAGCUUUGGGGUUGGGGGAUGCAAGAGGAAGAACCGAUCGAUUGAUCGAUCACGCGCUGUGUGUGUGUGUGUGUCUGUGAGAGAGAGAGAGAGAGAGAGAGAGAGAGAGAGAGAGAGAGAGAGAGAGUGAGAAGUGAAAUCUACAAUCCUGACCGCGGAAUCCUCUCGAUUCUCAUUUCCGCUUUACUCCCUCCUCCCCUGAACUGAUUUGUCAACAAACAUAUUCGCGCUCUGAUACAGUUUCUCGCCAUAAUUUUGAAAUAUUGAAAUUUGAUCUGAUCGAUGCUGCUGCUGCUGUUUUUGCUUGUUGGACUUGGAUCCGAUUCGAUUCUGCUCAAUCUUCUUCGUCUACUCCGGUCUUGCGGUUGGUCGCUUUGAUCCGGAGUAUUCUGUUCUAUCUAUUUGAUUCUCCACCUCGUUCUUGCUCUCGCUCUCAUUUCGUAGCGGUAGUGGGUUCAUUAACACUGAGUAUCAGCUUUCUUGAGAGGCGGAUGGGCGAUUGACCUCCGGCUCAGGCUCCGAUCGAGAAAUGCCGGUCCAUGUUGCUCGUGAAGCUCCUAAGCUAUGGAGGAAGAUUUGCUCGGAGGUCUCUGUAGAGAUUGCGCUUCUCUCUGAGAAUUGGAAGCAUCUUCUAGCUGGGAUCGUUUUUCAGUACCUUCAUGGAGUGGCUGCUCAUGGAGUUCACUACUUGCAUCGACCUGGACCAACACUGCAGGAUGUUGGGUUUUUUCUUGUUCCUGAACUGGGUCAAGAAAGAGCAUAUAUCAGCGAGUCUCUGUUUUCGGUUAUAUUUUGUUCCUUUGUCUUGUGGACAUUUCACCCUUUUGUUUUCCAGAGCAAAAAAAUCUAUACAGCCCUCAUAUGGUGCAGGGUUCUUGCUUAUUUAGUUGCGUGCCAAAUUCUCCGCAUCCUCACUUUUUAUUCAACUCAGCUACCAGGUCCAAACUACCAUUGCCGUGAGGGUUCAAGACUUGCUAGGCUGCCCCCUCCAGAGAGUGUGUUCGAGGUGGUUUUGCUAAACUUUCCCCGAGGGAUUCUCUAUGGAUGUGGUGACUUGAUUUUUUCAUCACACAUGAUCUUUAGCUUGGUUUUUGUUCGCACGUACCACAAGUACGGUGUCAGCAGGUUUAUGAAGCUGUUUGGCUGGUUAUUAGCUGUGGUCCAGAGCAUAUUAAUCAUAGCAUCUCGCAAGCAUUACACAGUUGACAUUGUAGUCGCAUGGUAUACUGUAAAUCUGGUAGCUUUCUUUGUUGACAAAAAAUUGCCAGAACUACCUGAUAGAUCCUCUUCUGCUUCUAUGUCUCCCUCGUUACUUCCUUCUAUCGCCAAAGAUAAGGACAGCAAGAACAGAGAAGAGAGAUUCAAUCUCCUUAAUGGGAUCACUGUGAGCACAUAGGAGAAUGCAGCAGUGGAAUUACACGUGAUUGCUAAAAUUGCAGCACUGUACAGCAGCAUGUGCCUGUGGUUCCUAUGCAACACAUAGAGACGAUGUUAAUGGCAAGUAUCUGAGGGGAUGACAACACAGAUCCAGCAGUACCAAUACCGAUACUAAGUGCUAAGCUUCACUAAUAAUGCAAUUACAAACAAAUUACGACAUUCACAUGCAGCUAAAUUUUGUCUAAAAAAUUUGAUCAAAUUAUAAUCUUUUUAUUCUCGCGCGAGUACUAAUUGAGAACAGCAGCCGCAGCAGGAGUUUGUCAUGCGAUGGGGUUUCCUUUUAGGCCAUUUUUUGACCCAAUUAUUAUGAACUACUGAUAUGUGUGUCCGCGUUAUAUUGCGGGAGACAGUUUUCGUGACAAUCAUGUCAUAAUUUGCUACA